rnacentral:rRNA from 1 species
GGACUACACGGGUAUCUAAUCCUGUUUGCUCCCCUUGCUCUCGCGCCUCAGCGUCAGGAAUAAGCUAGAAAACCGCUUUCGCCACAGGUGUUCUUCCACAUAUCUACGCAUUUCACCGCUACACGUGGAAUUCCAUUUUCUCCGCCACUCCUCGAGUCAUCCAGUUUCAAAUGCAGCUCCAAAGUUGAGCUUUGGAAUUUCACAUCUGACUUAAACAACCGCCUACGCGCCCUUUACGCCCAAUAAAUCCGAUUAAUGCUUGCACCCUCCGUAUUACCGCGGCUGCUGGCAC